UCAUAUUAAAGUUGUUGCGGUUAAAACGUUCGUAGUUGAAUUUGUGCUUCAUACGGGUAGUACAACUAUAAUUGUGGUAUGUACAUUACCUUAUGUAUGUAAGCGUAUUACCGGUGGAGUUCUUAUAUAUAAUUAAUACAAUGUAUUUUUUAUAUAUUCCUCCUAUUUAAACCUGCUUCAGUGCUCUUCAUCGAGUGUUGUUGUGGGCCGGUACAAUUACUUUGAACAAAUUAGAGUGCUUAAAGCAGGCUCCAAUGCCUGAAUAUUUUGUGCAUGGAAUAAUGAAAUAAGACCUCUGUUCUACUUUCAUUGGUUUUUAGAUCAAGAGGUAAUGAUUAAUAGAAGCAGUUUGGGGGCAUUAGUAUUACGACGCGAGAGGUGAAAUUCUUGGACCGUCGUAAGACUAACUUAAGCGAAAGCAUUUGCCAAAGAUGUUUUCAUUAAUCAAGAACGAAAGUUAGAGGUUCGAAGGCGAUCAGAUACCGCCCUAGUUCUAACCAUAAACGAUGCCAGCUAGCAAUUGGGUGUAGCUACUACUAUGGCUCUCUCAGUCGCUUACCCGGGAAACCAAAGCUUUUGGGCUCCGGGGGAAGUAUGGUUGCAAAGCUCNUCAAAGGCAUNGNANGNANNGG
rnacentral:rRNA from 1 species